rnacentral:tRNA from 1 species
UAGGUUGAGAUGGAAUUGAACCAACUAUCCUGUUGUUAUGAGCAACAUGCUUUGCCAAAUAAGCUAUCAACCU